AUUGAACGCUGGCGGCAGGCCUAACACAUGCAAGUCGAGCGAGCGGCGGACGGGUGAGUAAUGUAUGGGGACUGCCCGAUAGAGGGGGAUAACUACUGGAAACGGUAGCUAAUACCGCAUACUAUCGGAUAACCCAUAUGGGAGUAGCUAGUAGGUGAGGAAAUGGCUCACCUAGGCGACGAUCCCUAGCUGGUCUGAGAGGAUGAUCAGCCAAACUGGGACUGAGACACGGCCCAGAAUCAUGGGGAGGCAGCAGUGGGGAAAAUUGCAGAAGGGGCGCGAGCCUUAUGCAGCCAGGCCGAGUGUAUGAAGAAGGCCCUAGGGUUGUAAAGUACUUUCAGUCGGGAGGCGUUACCGACAGAAGAAGCACCGGCUAACUCCGUGCCAGCCGCCGCGGUAAUAC
rnacentral:rRNA from 1 species